GGCACAUUCGUGAUCUACCCUGUAGAUCCGGGCUUUCGUAAAAAACAAAUCGAAAGCUCGUCUCUACAGGUAUAUCACGGCUGGCCCACGCCACCUUUUCUACAAUUAGUCAAGAACUG